CGAGAGCGGGGGGCGCGGCGGCUCGGGCGGGCGCGGCAGGGAGGCUUGACCCUCACGGGCCGCCGUAAGCGCUAUAAAAGGCGCGGCGCGCCCUCCCUUGAUCUCUGCGCGCGCCGGCCUCGGCCAUGGCGGGUGCCUUCCUCGCCUCCUUCUCCCGGGCGCUUCCCAGCCCGCUCCCCGGCUACCGCCCUGCAACCCCGCUCUCCCGGGCGCGGCGCGGUCUGAGGGCCUCCGCUGCCGGGUGGGGGCUCCAGGUGCGAGGCGGGGUCGGGCGCUGACCCGGGGCGUCCUGGCCGCGUGAGCCGCGGGAUGCGGGCCCGGGCUGUGUCCCUCCCCGCGCCGUUUCCAGCCGGGAAGCUUCGGGAAGCCUGGUGAGAGCCGAGUGCGCGAAUUCGGACCUGAGAAGAAAGCGCCCCGCUCUCCCGUGCCCCUUCCGCCCCUGCUGCUGCGUCCCCGAGUCGCGGAGGCUUUGGGGACGUCACCUCGUGUGUCGGCAUCUUCGAGAAAUGGGUUUCUCGUGCUGUGUCCACGCGUCGGCUGUUUCCGUGCGACUGGCCGCCCAGCGGGAGGAGUCCGGUGACUGCCGGACCAAAGACUUACAGGACAGGACAUCUGCUCACUGGAAACACAUGUUCGAGGUGCCCUGCCAUGUUGGGAAGGAGGUGACUUAGCCUGUGAUGGACUUCCAGUGUGAGCAGUUGCCAGAAUGAUGACGCCAGCCGGCCCCAGCCCGGAUCAAGGUCAUUCGGUGAAUCCAGGUUAAAGAAACCCGGUUUGCAGCACUGUGCAGAGGCCAGGAUGUGGGCGCAGCCGUGCCAGGAGGCUGGCUGGAAUGGAGGUAAAGGCCUCGCUCCCUCUGGGACCACCGGCACCCGGGUGUUUGCAGCCUCAGAGCCCAGCUUUCACACGCCCCCCUGCCCCCAGGGCCACAGUUGCAGCUCUUGCUCUGCGUUCAUUCCUGGGAAGGGCAGGCUGGGAUCGGACGCCCGCCGCCUCUGCCUGGGUAGUGGUGUGUGUUCCAGCUGGCCGGGGCAGCUGCCGGGACCACCCCCCCAUUUUAGUAUCCCGAUUCUUAAGUUCUGCCAUUGUGGUAUUCUGGUGGAAAAAAAGAACCAUCUGGUUAUUUUUGAACCACCUGGAAUCUGAGAUCCUCAGUUAUUUUUUUUACUGUAUUUGAGUCAUCUUGUUUUUGUUGCUUUUCCCCCAAGGGGGAAAAAUCUAUAUGGAAAACAUUGAGUUUAAAUUACAGGAUGAAGUGAAUUAAAGAUUUAAUGCACAUUUCUUCAAGGGUAAUAUUUCUGUGUUGGCAAAAUUUGAGAAUAAAAGGGGCUGGGACGGAAUGG